rnacentral:rRNA from 1 species
GACGAACGCUGGCGGCGUGCCUAACACAUGCAAGUCGAACGGACAGGCCCUGCGCUUGCUGGUUUGUCGAUUGCCGAACGGGUGUGUAACACGCGUGUAACCCGCCCUUGACUGUGGGAUAUCAUUACGAGACUGGGGCUCUUACCCGAUAGAAGCUCUUGCUGCACGGUGGUGUUUGGAAAGUUUCGGCGGUUUGGGCUGGACUCGCGGCUUAUCCGCUUGUUUGGGGAGUAGUGGCUUACCAAGGCUUUGACGGGUAGCCGGCAUGAGAGGGUUGACGGCGACAAUGGGACUGAGAGAGGGCGCAGACGGCUACGUGAGGCAGCAGUGGGGAGUAUUGCACAGUGAGCGGAAGCCUGAUGCAACAGCGCCGCGUGCGGGAUGGCGGCCUACGGGGUGUAAACAGCUUUCGCCUGUGACGAAGCGGGAGUGACGGUAAUGGGUAAGAAAGCACCGGCUAACUACGUG